AACGAACGCUGGCGGCGUGCUUAACACAUGCAAGUCGAGCGAUGAAGUUUCCUUCGGGAAACGGAUUAGCGGCGGACGGGUGAGUAACACGUGGGUAACCUGCCUCAUAGAGUGGAAUAGCCUUCCGAAAGGAAGAUUAAUACCGCAUAAUGUUGAAAGAUGGCAUCAUCAUUUAACCAAAGGAGCAAUCUGCUAUGAGAUGGCCCCGCGGCGCAUUAGAUAGUUGGUGGGGUAACUGCCUACCAAGGCGACGAUGCGUAGCCGACCUAGGAGGGUGAUCGGCCACAUUGGGACUGAGGCACGGCCCAGACUCCUACGGGAGGCGGCAGUGGGGAAUAUUGCACAAUGGGGGAAACCCUGAUGCAGCAACGCCGCGUGAGUGAUGAAGGUUUUCGGAUCGUAAAGCUCUGUCUUUGGGGAAGAUAAUGACGGUACCCAAGGAGGAAGCCACGGCUAACUACGUGCCAGCCGCCGCCGUAA
rnacentral:rRNA from 1 species